rnacentral:rRNA from 1 species
AACGUAGGAGGCGAGCGUUAUCCGGAUUUACUGGGCGUAAAGCGCAUGUAGGCGGCUUCGUGAGUCGGAUGUGAAAGCUCCUAGCUUAACUGGGAGAGGCCAUUCGAUACUGCGGGGCUUGAGGUUGGAAGAGGGGUGCGGAAUUCCCGGUGUAGUGGUGGAAUGCGUAGAUAUCGGGAGGAACACCUGUGGCGAAAGCGGCACCCUGGUCCACACCUGACGCUGAGAUGCGAAAGCGUGGGUAGCAAACAGG